AACGAACGCUGGCGGCAGGCUUAACACAUGCAAGUCGAGCGCCCCGCAAGGGAGGCGGCAGACGGGUGAGUAACGCGUGGGAAUCUACCCAACUCUACGGAAUAACUCAGGGAAACUUGUGCUAAUACCGUAUACGCCCUUCGGGGGAAAGAUUUAUCGGAGUUGGAUGAGCCCGCGUUGGAUUAGCUAGUUGGUGGGGUAAAGGCCUACCAAGGCGACGAUCCAUAGCUGGUCUGAGAGGAUGAUCAGCCACACUGGGACUGAGACACGGCCCAGACUCCUACGGGAGGCAGCAGUGGGGAAUAUUGGACAAUGGGCGAAAGCCUGAUCCAGCCAUGCCGCGUGAGUGAUGAAGGCCCUAGGGUUGUAAAGCUCUUUCACCGGUGAAGAUAAUGACGGUAACCGGAGAAGAAGCCCCGGCUAACUUCGUGCCAGCCGCCGCCGUAACAC
rnacentral:rRNA from 1 species